rnacentral:tRNA from 1 species
ACCUGGCUGGCUUAAUUGGUGGAGCAUGUGACUCUUGAUCUUGGAUUUGUUGGUUCAAGCCCCAUGUUGGGUG